GGUGCCAUUGUUGUUGAUUCCAUUGUUCAUGGCCAUCUGAAAAGCUAAGGAACUGUUCAAACCUUGAAAUAAACUUGAACACCCUGCAGUUGUGUAAUUGAGGAGCCCCAUGACAUCAACAAGAAUGACGACGAUGAUGCGGAGGAGGAGGACCUCAACUACACACCACACAAAGUCCCUAUUGUCUGUCGGCAAUGGCUUCCUUCCCUGCAGCAGACCUGGACCCCAUGCCCAAGCUCACGAGGUCACCGUUGAGUCCGACCUCCACCUCGAUCAUGACGACGACGACCCGCACAAGGUCGAUCCCUACUUUACCACAAAUAUGUUCUUUCUUUUGUGAAGUAACAGUUCCUUGCUUUGUGUAAUGUUAAGAAACUGUUUGUUGAGACAACAAUUAGUCUCUCCCGGCUACAGGAACUGUUUAUAUGCAUUUGCUUAGGCUUGGAGCAUAACUCAUAAAUCAGUUACCUGUUUUGCAUAUCCUAUGAAUUUGAGCCUUAUCUGUUUGCUAUUUCUCCAUCUCAAAUCUCCAUCAGUAAGCUAAAAAAAGACUAGCUAGCUAAUCCUCUGUAAUUAGCUUGCUUCCCCCAUCUCACGCUGAAACCCUAGCUCUUCCCUUGGUGACGGAGAGGCUCACAUCAUGGAUCCUCUCCUCGAAGACAUCAACGGCCAAGGAAGGAGAAGCUGCUGCAUAGGUGCCAUCCUGUAGCCAUGGACGGCACUCAUAGCAUGUGCGAAGUCUGCUCCUUCCCCGCAUGGCUAGUUAGCACUUCUCCCGCCCAUGGAAGCAGCAGGCACCCUCCGCCGAUGACCUGGACCCCAUGCCCAAGCUGACGAGGAGGACAUCGUCGAGUCUGACGUCCACCUCGACCAUGAUGACGCCCCGCACAAGUUCAACUACUUGGUCGGUUGCCACUACUCUCUGCCUGAUGACCGGUUAUGGGCGAUCGGCAGAACAAGUGAGUUGACACUAGGUUACUUCCCUGUAAAAAACGAUCCCGCCGGAGGGCGGAGGCUGUCCUGGAAGGAGGCCACACAUGAGUUAUGAGGACCAUAUGCCUAGGUGGAAGCAGUCUUGAGAACCUUGGCCAAAACAAGGAAGUUUGAGAAGGCUAGUGGUAUGAGGAACAACCAUGGCUUCAAGGUUUAACUCAUGUAUGUGUACCAUCCAUGAUAUGCACUUACAUCCGGAUCUCUGUUGGUCUAUGCUUGUAGUUCCGACUUUAGCGGUAUGCCGUUUCCCAUCACACACAUGGAGCGGUCUUGUUCUUUUUGUUAUAUGUUGUGUAUGCUCGCCUCAUUCCUGAAAUUCCA